rnacentral:misc_RNA from 1 species
UUUCCGUAGGUGAACCUGCGGAAGGAUCAUUACAGAGUUCAUGCCCUCACGGGUAGAUCUCCCACCCUUGAAUAUUUAUACCUUAGUUGCUUUGGUAGGCCGUGGAAACACCGUGGGCUCCGGCUUAUGCGUGCCUGCCAGAGGAAACAAACUCUGUUUUUAGUGAUGUCUGAGUACUAUAUAAUAGUUAGAACUUUCAACAACGGAUCUCUUGGUUCUG